UACGUAGGGUGCAAGCGUUAAUCGGAAUUACUGGGCGUAAAGCGUGCGCAGGCGGUUUUGUAAGUCUGUCGUGAAAUCCCCCGGGCUCAACCUGGGAAUUGCGAUGGAGACUGCAAGGCUAGAAUCUGGCAGAGGGGGGGUAGAAUUCCACGUGUAGCAGUGAAAUGCGUAGAGAUGUGGAGGAACACCGAUGGCGAAGUCAGCCCCCUGGGUCAAGAUUGACGCUCAUGCACGAAAGCGUGGGGAGCAAACAGG
rnacentral:rRNA from 1 species